GACGGAAGGUGCAAGCGUUGCUCGGAAUCACUGGGCGUAAAGGGUGCGUAGGCGGCUUGGUGGGUCUGGUGUGAAAGCCCCGGGCUCAGCCCGGGAAGGGCACUAGAAACUGCCGAGCUGGAGUGCCGGAGGGGAGAGUGGAAUUCCUGGUGUAGCGGUGAAAUGCGUAGAUAUCAGGAGGAAUACCGGUGGCGAAAGCGUUCUGCUAGACCUGUACUGACACUGAGGGACGAAAGCUAGGGGAGCGAAUGGG
rnacentral:rRNA from 1 species